rnacentral:rRNA from 1 species
ACGGAGGGUGCAAGCGUUGUUCGGAAUUACUGGGCGUAAAGGGCGCGUAGGUGGUUGUGUAAGUCAGAUGUGAAAUCCCGAGGCUCAACUUCGGAACUGCAUCUGAAACUGCAUGACUAGAGUACAGCAGAGGGAAACGGAAUUCCUGGUGUAGAGGUGAAAUUCGUAGAUAUCAGGAGGAACACCGGUGGCGAAGGCGGUUUCCUGGGCUGAUACUGACACUGAGGCGCGAAAGCGUGGGGAGCAAACAG